UUUUUUUUUUUUUUAACUGAUGAGAAUUUUUAUUCAUUCACUCUUAUUCUGGGAGAUAUAGCUAAUCGGAUCGGGGAAACAAUUAAAACACUGGGAUUCAGCCCUUGUAUGUGGGCGACUGUCCACCACUAGAGGGAUUACUGUUGUAUAUAUUUUAUAGUAAGAAGUCUGAAUUACAUUACCUACAUUGACACAAUGUUAAGAGGGUUUUUUCAUUUUUAUUAUUACCACUGCUCAUUUACCAUUUCGUUAGGGAGUAUGUGAUUGCAUUUAACAAAAACAAAAACUCGUAAAAAAAUCCCAGGACCAUGUAGCAGUUUCAAAAGCCAACGGACUAGCUCAGUUUCACAUGCACAUCACUGAAGUGAAAAGAAAUUAGUGCAUGCAGUAACUUGUAAACAACAGGAUCAAGAAUAUUAAAUCGGCCCUUAUAACACAUGAAUACCUACCUUAAAAGCAUUAGGGAUACUGCUGAUCAUGAAAUCCAAAAGAAAACCUCCUGCUACUGUACCCAAUAUUCCGCAUACAAUUGUAAUACCUCCAAAUAUCAAAUCUGCGUCAGUCUGCCAAAAGAGCAUGAAUCACCAUUACCAAGCAGUUAACAUAUCAGUCACGACUAUAUGAAGAAUGAAGAAAGAAAAAGAAAACGCCUUAUAUAGAACAAUACAAAUCUCAGUAGCCAAUCCAAUGCAAUUUCUUACCAUAUUGUAUAUAUUAUAACCAGCCUUAGGCCCCCAAUAUGAGUAUGCACCGAUUACAAAGUUGUACGCGAUGUAACCUAAGAAUGAAAAUUUAGUAUUAAGCGAAUUAUAUGAAGGAAAAAAAAGGAAAAAAUAAAUCUUAACUCAAACUAAUAAUCAUUGAGUGACUUUUUCUCCAGAACGAUAGAUGUGAAUGAAAUUUUCUGAGAAAAUCACAAUGAACCAUGAUAUCAGAUAGAAAAGAUGAAACAUAAAUGAACUAAAAAAAGGAAAGAAGAAGUACCUAGAACAUUAACAACAUAAACCUUCUCAGCCAAAAGCACCUUUAUAUCUUUUGUAAACCUUGAAAUUUGAACCUUUAUCUUCGCUGCAAAGUUCACCCUGCCAUCAAGAUCCAAGAUGUCAAUUCAAACUACAUUAUCAUGUUUAUGAUAACUGCUACCACUUCUAAAUGUGCAAUGAUUAGGGAAGCCAUGCAUCAGUAAGCCAUAGAGUUCCUACUAUGGUAACCAACUGCAGAAGGCAUACAUCAGUAAGCCGUAUAGUUCCUAUCUAACUGAACAAGUGAAAUACAAGCAUAAAUAUACACAAACAUACAAACAAAAGUACAUAAGCCUCAGGAUAAGUGAGCUAACCCAUUCUGGUCAUCUAAGGUAGAAUAUUUGACAUCUCCCUCCACUGAAAAUGAGCCGUCUUUACCAUUCAAAACACCUGAAUCUGUGCAUCAAAUGUCCAAAAAAAAAAAUAAAUAAAUAAAUAACAUGAUUAGCAAUGUCCCAGAAAAAAUAUAUAAAAUAAGAUAAUUAUCACUCAAAGAAGUCUAACGAACAUAUGAUAAACUCCCAAAAAAAAAUUUGAACAUAUGAUAAACUCCCAAAUAAAAAGUGAACAUAUAUAAUAAGAUUAAAAUGGGUUCCUAAACAGAAAGGUUCAGACAGUCGGCAAAUAUUGUAUAUGUUGCUUUCUAGUGAUAAGUUAUACCACCUUGAACUUCUGAGACACCCGUCUCCAUUCCUGUCACUUUUUUCGAUUCAGCAGGCAUGAAACCUGUAAUCACAAAUUGCUUUAGCAAUGACUGUCAAAAGUUACUGGAUCAGAAUGAUUCAAUGCAUAAAACUACACCUUUAAGCUGCAAAGGCUUCAUAACAAAUCCUAGAAUAGCAAACGGAAGCAUCAGGAUUGCCUCGCCCCAGAAUGCAAAACGCCAAUUGGAAUAACUUCCCACCUAUAUAGAAAACAACCGAUAAGGCUUUUCAGGGGCAGGAAACUGUAACGCAUAUGGGCAUCAGCAAAGAACAUCAAAAUAUACAAUUUAGUAGAAAGAUGCAGGUUUAUGGGAUCGAGGCAUUUUUCAGAUGACCCCUGGGUUACUUAUUCCAUACAUAAAUUAUACAGCAAUCGGGUAUAACACUUACCAACCCACCAUAUACAUAACCAAGUGCAUAUCCAGAUGGUAUGCACAUGUAGAAUAUUGAAAGCCACACAGUUUUCUGCGAUAAAAGACAAGUAUUAGUCAGUUGCCUCAAAGUUACAAGAAUAUAAUCAAGAAAAGCAAUGAGGUGGCUAUAGUAACAAGAAUAUUUGAAUGAUGGAUAAAAGAAGUCAAGAGCAGUAGACAACAACUAAGAACAUAGAAAAUGGUACUGCUAGUUUAGGAAAGCAAGAUGAACCCAAGAUGACUCAACUUGGCUAUACAUUUAUACUUCUAAGUUGAUCACCUCAUUCAUGCUCUACAAUACACAUCAGGAGUCAUAGCUACCAUACUUAUUAAGAAAAAUAACAUACAUCCAUAAUUAAGAAAAAUUAAUAUAUCAUUUUAAUCUGCACAUCACCAUUAGAUAUUAGAAUACUACUUGGAGCAUUUUUAUCACAAUGAGAAGCCAUUUUCUUAAAAUUUUUGCUAGGCGAACCAUAUCUUAAGGUACCAAACCAACUUACAUGGCAGCAGAUAUCGCAUAGCCGCAUCACUUAAGGUUUCUGAGUUGUCUGAUUGUUAAGUUGUCUAUGCCAUAUCAGCUGGUUUCUAUGUGGUAGAUACAAAGAUCUUCACACAGCAUUAAUCUUUUCCUAUAAAGGGUGUUUCUCAAAAAAUUGUACUUGAUUACUAGUUAAAUUACAUGUUUACUUUUUUUCUGUUGAUCUGGAAAGUUACUAGGUUUUAUAGAUGGCAUGCAAUAGAAGAAUAUUUUAGGAUUAUCAGUGGGUGGGAAUGGAAGAGCUUUGAACUGAGUGCAGUAUUAGUCUCUAUUUUACUGCUUUCUCUCAGGACUAUACCAUCAACAAGAUUUAAAGAACUUUCGGUAGGCAAUAACUAAAAGGACCUAAAUCCUAUGUCUGAGCAGUUAAGUGAACAAAUUUCUAGCAUUGAGAUAUCUAGUUAUCUUCUGAAAACAAUUUCCUGGCUUGCAUGAGAAAACAUAAUGAACCCGCUGGAUCAUUGUGGUUCAUUGUGGUUCAAGGAACAGAACGGUAAGAUGCAAUCACUGGUGAAUGUAGUAAUAUAUAUCCAACUAGAAGAGCUUGCAGCUUUGUUCCAAGGCUAUGAGCUCUGGCUAAGUGUUGCUUAGCCCAUCAAUCAUCCUAGCCUCAAUCAUACAUUGUAAGGACAUUCUAAUAAUUUAAGCUGCAAUACUACGACAUGAAAUUUUAUUGUGUCUUUUCAAAUCCUGACUUCUUCCUCUUCUUCAAUUAUGUACAAAAAUUGACAGUAAUAAUACCAAAUUCAAUCAAUCGAGAUUCCCUGAAGCAAAAUACAGAUCACCAAGGGCAGCCUUCAUUUUUUUAGAACUGCCAAUUUUCUAUGGACCGUCCCAGAUUUUAACGCCAUUCAUUACCAUUCAGAAACGCGAACCUCCAUAAACCCAUAAAACCAAGCAUUUUAGGAUUUAUCUAGGUCAUUCGAAAAUGAAAAUUAUAGAACUUUUGCUCAUCAGGGAAUGUUGAAGCAUUACAGAGAACUAGUAAUGUUAAGGGAUCGAGUGAACAUAAGCUACUAGUGUUGAGAUAUUUCAAAUAAAGUGCAAAAUAUUUCAUGUAUUGUCUAUGAGCUACCAGUAUACCUACACUACACUGGAUGUUAGCCUCAUUGUUCUGUUAAAAUGUAUUGUCCAAGGCCCAAACAAUAAUAAAUAAAAAUAAUGAAUUUAAUAACUUAAAUAAUGAGAGGAAGCGUAGUUAAAUGAGAUCAAUCAAAUUUAAACAAAUGGAAAUGAAUAAAAAAAAUAACUUAAAUAACCACAGGAAGCGUAAUUAAAUGAGAUCAAACAAAUUUAAACAAAUUGAAAUGAAAAAAAAAAUAAAAAAAUAGUACCUGAGCAGCUGGGGCAUUAUCAUCAAUGAAUGGAGCUGCAAGACUAAUAAAUGAAGCCUCGCCAACACCAACUAGCCUUUUGAGAAAGAAUAUGUAGUACAAGCAUAAUUAACCAACAUACUUAUAAACAUUACCUCCCAUAACUAAAUAAUUCAAAAUUUAAAGAGCAAGACAUACCAGGGGGUAUUAAUCAAGAAAACAAAGAUAACGUUACUUACAUGCGGCAGAUGGUAAUGGACCAGAAGUUGAAUGAAAUACCACAACCAACUACAGCAAAUGUCCAAACUGACAAUCCAACUCCAAUGAGUCUAAAUGGAUUUACACUGCAAAAUUUGAUAGUACAUAAAUAAGAAAUCACAGAUAAUCUAAUUUAUUCUAUCAAGAGAAAGUGAAUAUUUUAUUAAGAAAAUAAAGAAAACAAGAGGUCCAAUUUCAAAGACUAAUCAGCAAAUAAAAGCUCUUCUAUGCAUAGGGAGACAUAUCUUUCUUUGAUUGGUAAAAGAAAUAAAUAAUUCAAAUAAACAGGACCCUCACAGCUCAGGGGACAAGAAUCUGCUCAAAAAGCGAGCCAAAGAAGGGAAAAAAAAAAAAAAGAAAGAACAAGAAGUAACCAACCGAAGAAUUAGGAAGAAGGUAGACUUUAAGAAAAAAAAACAAAAAAAAAAAAUAAUAUAUAUAUAUAUAUCUAUAUGAAAAAUAAAAUAACAGAACGAUGCCCAUAAACUGUCCAGAAAGGGUCUCUGUUGUACAAGGAUCCACCCCCCUCAAAUUCUAAAAGAUUUGGGUCCCUCUCAAUCCAAAUGACUUAAACAUGGGCAUUGCAGCACCUCUAUCCAGAAUGGACCCAUUCUUUACCUCCAAAACAAUUGUAGCUAUUAAACAAUAAAGUAAAAAUCAGCUGGAAUGUCCCUUCUCACUUUGGAUUCCCCAAUCAUCCUUCUCCAAAAGGCUAGAGCAAUGAGUUAGUACAGAGGAGAUGUUACAACAAACACUUCCAAAAUAGCAUCCCUUCAUCAACACAGUGCAAAUUUCCAACUUAGUAAAACUGACGUGCCUAACCUCUACAGCAACUGACACACAAAGAGCAGAGAAAGAACUAUAUUGAUCACUUGAUCCUAAAGCUAAUUCAGGGCACCUGGUUCUAUCUAAAUCCUUUGUCCAUCUGUAUAUAUAACCCACAAAACUACCUGCCAAACCUAGAGCAUUGUCCAAUUUUCUUCCAGGGUAAGGUUAGUAAAGAACUCUUCUAAGAAUAUCCUUUGGAAGAGAGUUCCACUGGUUUUUUGGUGUCUCUUCUCAGAGAGAAGCUGAAGAGCUUCAAAUUUAGGAGCCAUGCAAUGCAGGAUAAAUCAUGAUGGGCUUUAAUUCACUGGAAUAUAAAGAAGUUCAAGUAUUAUCCUCUUAGAGUUUUGUUUUUACACAGUUUAUCUUCUAUCUUGGUAUACACCUAUUGUCCCAAUAGCUCACUUACAAAAGUAUAUAGAUGUACAAAUAAAUAGUAAAUUCGUCGCGUACACUUUUACAUAACAUUUCAAGAAAAAUGAUUGAGUUCAAUGCAUUCAGAUGUCAUCUUCAAAAUUAUCCACCACCAUAUAGUCUAGUGCAAAAGAUGAUUAAGUACCUCUUUGCUAAUGAAGCAAAAAUCGGAGACGCCACCAGAAGGCCAACCAUAAAAGCAGAUGACAGGCAUCCAUCUUCAAAAUUGCUCAAGUCAAAAUCCCCCCUACAUACAAAAGGAAAGUAAGGAAUCCAUUUAUCAUACCUAUGAAGUACACAGCAAAAAGUAAAGGCCUAGAAAGAACAGAAACUAAAACCUAAAAUAUAGAUAUUAAUACAUUUAAAUAUAAUAUUGGGAUGUGCACAAGUCAAGAAUAUACAGAAGUAAGAGAUUCAUCUCAAAGACGUUGCAAGGUUCAUGUAAACCCUUAUAAAAAACCAUACAGUGGUGCAAAGAUGAGUAAAACCUUAGCAAAUUCCCACAUAGCCACCUCACCCUCCAAGUCCCAAACAAGGGUCCAGUUAAUGGACACUUUACAGACGCCAGACCAGUGUGCAUGAGCAUAAAUCAUAGAACCAUUCUACCACUUACGAAACUGAUGAACCUCUUCAUAUCAACAGCAACAUAACAAGAUCGACAGAAUAUCUAUUUCUUAUGAAACCUCAUGACGUUUCUAUGACGUAAUACCACAGCAUGGUUGUAUAAGCAAACAUGAAUUCAGCUAAUGGAAUCAAAUUACACACAGACAAACCCAAAUUGAAAAGCCAGAGAAGGAAGCAAGUAAUUCUUACUGUAUGCCGGUGCCAGAUGUACAUGUACCACCCUCAGUACAAGUUCCAAGAGUCCCAUUCACACCAUUGCUUGCAAUUGCUCCUCGGUCCACAUAAUUUAUCAAGUUAAUCACACAAAAUAUAACAAGUAACCUGCAAUGACAAAAUGAACCAUUCAAUACAAACAUUUGAAGUCCAUCCUAGUAUUUCGUACUGUCAAAUUGAAAACCCAACUCAGCCAAGCUCAGAGUUGGACCAACUAAUCAAACUAUAAUCAACUCUUUCUCCCAGAAAUUACUGAUUAUCAAAAGAACAACACAGCGCCCACAACAACAACUCUAACACUCGAAAUUCAAACUAGGCAACCCAAAAUUACUCUACUCCGCUCCAAUCGGUUACAAAUUUUGAUUCUUUUUUCGAAACCCAAGUAACGAAAACAAUCCCAAAAAAAAAGUCAAAAACUUUGAACAGCAGAACCAAAAACGAAGUCGGAAAAGAAAAAGGGUAGGUUUACUUCUUGGCGGAAAACCACGAAGGUUGUUCGAUUGAAGAAACGAUCAUGGCUGCCCAAACAGAAAGCUUCGCAAGAGUCUUUAUUGGUAGUUAGCUCGUUUUGAAAGUCUUUGCUUCUUCUUCUUGUUGAGUUGAGUGGCCAUACAAAGACAACAAUGGUACUUUUUGUUUGAGGAGAUGACAAAAAUGUUACUUCAAACACAAAAUAACAUGUUUACCCAAUUUGGAACGGACUUGUAAUUGGAAUGGUAGGUGCUUUGAAGAGUUAUUUUUCUUAUAGCGAAUAUAUUAUAUAUUUUUUUUAGGAAAAAAAAUUGUAAAAGUGCUAAUUUUCCCAAGAUCUUUCUUCAACGACUCGAAUUAGUGUAGUAGGAGAAUGUGAUAUGAGAGAUAGUUUUUUAUUUUAUUUUUUUAUAAAUGAAUAUUAUGUUGAUAUUUGAACUCAAACCAGAAAAGACAAUUACAUACAUUUUCUCUACUGACAAGAGUAAAUAAGAAGUUUGUAAUCUUAGACCAUAACGAUACAUAGGUUAGACGUAUCAUUUAACAAUACCAAUGCUCACUUAUUUAAAGUGAGCCUAUUAGUAGUGCAAGACAAAGACUGCAAUAGGCAAUUUAAAAGAAAAUUAAAUAAAACCAAGCCCUAGAGGGCCAGCCCACUUAUCUGUUCUUUAGGCCGAUGACCAUACCUUAGAGUCUCAUCCACGGGUCUAUUACCAAAGUUUUCUUCAACAGACAAUUAAGAAGCCUGUGCAGUUUGAGAUUUAACACAUCCAUUCAUCCUAACCCUGUGGAGAGGAAACGGGUUGUCGACACGGAUCGACGUUGGGUUGCCGAGAGAGGACAAGGAGAGGCGGAGAAGAGGAAUCUGUUUGGUAACGACCAGGGUUGCUUUGAUUCCCAGCCAUGACGGUUAGGGUUUGAGUGCAGGAGGCAGAGGAUGGCCCGUGGUGUCGACGUCGAGCACCAUUGAUGAAGGUCUAGGCCAUAGCGGCUAGGGUUUGGGAGAGAAGGUUAGAGGCGUAAGGCCAUUAGAAGAUUAGAUUGUAGAUCCUUCAAUUCCCAUAGAUAGUUUUUUAUAUCGAGAUAAUUCAGAGAAAGUAAUCGGGAAAUUACUAUAUUUCAUUCAUAGAUUGACAACACCACCCUAUCAUAAUGUAUUCCUAAUAUACAUUGACUAAGGCAAAUAUACAUAAUUGUAUUUUCCUUUAAACAUUUCUCACCGUGUAGUGUCAACCAUAUAUGAAAAGUGACAAUUUUUUUGAAAUGUAAAAUAUUUCAUUGAUAAACUUAGGCUAGAAUGACAUCAUUACAUUAUAGUCAAUUAGCUCACUUUAGCAGAGAAUUAAACUAGAUACAAUUCAAGAUAUCAAAAAAACAUAAAAACUGAAACCAAAGCCCUCAAUUGAGGUAUUCCAAGCAUCAUGAUUCCAUCUAGCUGCAGCUAGCUUGCUCAGUCUGCUAUGCUAUCCAAACACUGCGACUUAAGCCACAAUCAGUUUGAAAUCAGGCCUAAUAACCCAAUUCCAAAUUUGACUUUUGAUGGGCUUGAGGCUAGACCCAGGCCCAAAAACCCGAGUCCAUUCCUAAACCCUAGCAGAUUUGCAUCAUCGCUUGCCGACAAUCUCCGCUCGCAUUGAUGGCGACCAAAAUGGUUUUGCCACCGGCGUCCCUGCCCCUGCAGGCAUCAUCCUCAGAUCUUCUAGUUGAAGACGCGCAACUCUCUUGGAUUCAAGCUCAGACUCAAUCUCACUAACCGGAGUCUAAAGCCAUAACCAAAUUGGGAGAUUUCGAUCCUUGCUCGCAGCCAAGUUUUGCGGCUAGUGAUCUUCGACGUUAGAAGGUAACCUUCCACCUUGUAUCCAUGUUCGGUGGCAUUUCGUCCUCCACCUCCAUGGUUAACUGACCACAAAAGAUUAAGAUUUGCCUCCAUAGGAGGGCUUGAUGCCGAGAAGGAACAGCUUAAACUCGGUGUCAAGCGUUGUUGGAGACCUAGGCCAAGGUGGGGAGGGUUUAGGAAGGAUCUGGUGCGGCGGCUGAGGGAAAUGGAUAGCAUCACCCGAACCGGCCGUUGGACUUGCAUCUACAUCAUCUUUCGGCAUAAAAAUGAUGGAGGACUUGUUGACCAGAUCUGAUCUUAGAUUGCUGCAAGAAGACAACGUGGUUAGGAGAAGAGAACUUCACUUGAUACCGGCGUCGAUCGUCGUGAUUGAGAAACCAAGCCAUGAUGGCUAGGGUUUUAGAAGAGGAGCCGUGCUCCUCUCAUGACGGCUUUUUGAAAAGUAACAAUUUAUUCUAAGUUAAUGGGGUUUAAUUAGAAGUUGUUCCGUAGAACAAUUUCAUUGAGCCUAACAAUUUGUUUAAGAAUUUAUUUGCUUAGAACACUAACCGAUACAUGGAAGCUCUGCAUCACAAUCUGAAUUGAAUGUCCGAGCACCACUGUUAGCCAAUCUAACAAGUCUAUGAACCAUCCCAACAUGGCCUUUGAUCUUUUCAACUAGCCAUCAAAACCGGUACAUAAUUGAUCCCAGCCUUCGAGCCUUAAACAUACCCAUAAACAAACCAUAUGUAAAGCCAUGUACAUCAUAUAGAGGUUAAGCCAUAGGUCAACACAACACCAAGGCACAUGCAACAACAUUCCUCUAGUGAUUUUGAGAGAACAACCACACUAUUCUUUUCAACCAUGCUUACAAAACACAUAAUUUUAAGAGAUUAUGAGAGACAAAUGAACAUCAACAACGUGUAUCCAAUUUUAAAAAUAAAUAGCAAUUAACAAUUAUGAAUUAUGAAUUUGUUUUCAACUAACAGAUUAUUUAUUCCUCAUGGUUCUUCAAAAAUAAAUGCUCAUAAAAGGACUAUACACGAUAUGGCAAGAAAUCGUCAUUUUCCUAUUACACACAUAUGUGCUUUAUCACCUUUAUUUGACCAGAUAUAAAAAACUGUCUCGAGAGUAUGAGAGUCGCACUAAGGUUCCUUACUGACGGCUCUACAAAAUUGGCUGGUGGAAUUGAAGUAUUCUCCCUCUCUGGCUCUUUAGUGGAGGCUUACCUCUCAAUGGUGUCAUCUUCAUUGGUAAGGAUUGCAUUCGAUUCCUUUUUGUUCAUCAUUCUUUGGCAGUGUUGGGGCUGAAACAUGACCAAGCUCGAUUAGGAUUAGAGAUUGUGGCUCCAGAUCUAGGUUUCGUAGGUCCGGUGGUGGUGUUCUGGGAAUCUUCGGCUAAAGGGGUUUUGGCUAAGAUCUCAUGGGUGUUUCAAUCGACGGCGGCAUGCUCAAAGAUUGGGUUCAUGGAUGAAUAAUGAAUCAGAUGCAGACAUCACAUUCAGAGGCCAUCGGUGGUUCUGAGGCCAACAAGGACUUUAUUUAGCGAGGGGUGACAACUCUGGGGGUUGGGCAACUUGGUGCGUUUCCCAUAUUGAGGCGAGUGGUGAUUGUGUUAGCGUGGGGCUAGAGGUUCAGAUUUCGAGGCAAAAUGUUGUUUCAAUUACCAGCAGUAGUCCUAAGGUCGGCUAUGACUUCCAUUAGAGAGAGGUUGCGACGCAUGGGGCUCUAACUCUAACUUUUCCAUCGUUUUUGAGUCUGCACAAGAUUGAAGACGUUGCAGGCAGGACUAACCCUGGUAAUGGAGGCGGGUUAUAGCUAACCUGGUUUUUUGCUUUAGGUCUCCUUAGCAUAAAUUGGGUGAGCUAGGCCUUUAUUUGCAUUUGGAUUUCAUUCUUUAACAGGGAUUGGAUCUGUAUUUUUUAUUGUCUUUUAUUUUGUCAUAAUAGAUAGAAGGAGUCGGCGACAUGUCUACCCUAUUUGGGUAAGACAUCACUGACUAGCUCUAAUUUGUUAAGCCAUUUAAUUUUCAUGAAAACUGCGAGUUUUUCUCUAAUUUGGCGCUACCGCUAGAAAAUGAUGAGUUUUACCAGGUUAUGGUACUUUUGUUAGCCCCACAGGGGUGGAUUGUUAUGUGUGCUAGCGUCUGAUUUAUUAUAGAGUUGACAUCUUAUUCGAAAAAAAGAAAUGACAAACAUUUUCCCACAAAAGAGCUAUUGCUUAAUCCUAGAUGAUUUAAACCAAUCGGUGUUCAACCAAAUAGACAAGCAGAUAGAGAUACCUUUUCGGAUUCAUUUUCUUUUUUCAUUAGUUAUAUAUUUUUAUAGGCCGAAAUCUACGCUUGUUUUGAUAACUGUUAGGACUAUCUAUGUUUCUAACUAUAUCAGUCCAUUUUCCUAACCUUCCCACCUUAAUUUGUUUUAGCACCAAUGACGCACCAACGACGUUCACACGUCUAUUAAUAAAUAUGAUUGAUCAAAGAAGAAGAGCAAUCAAUCAAUCAAGGUCUUGAAAUUGGGAAAGGCUCAAUCUUGUUGAUAAUUUAUUAUGUUUCCUCAUCUCAAUCUUCCCAAACGCUUCAGUUUUACAGCUUCAAUAGACUGGUUUUGCCGCCAUUUUUUUGGCAAUGCAGGUCUUCGAUCUGUUAUAACUGAUAUAGGUGAUGGUGAUGCUACCAACAUGCAUUGUUGGGUACCUAAGAUUCACAAAGCAUUCAAACCCAACCUCAUUUUGAUUCAUGGGUUUGGAGCCAAUGCAAUGUGGCAGUACGGUGAGCAUAUUCGCCAUUUCACCGCUCGUUUUAAUGUCUACGUGCCCGAUCUUGUUUUCUUUGGUGACUCUUACACAUGCAGCCAAGAACGAAAUGAGUCGUUCCAGGCUGCUUGUGUAGUUAAGUUGAUGCACGCCCAUAGAGUUGGAAAGGCAAGCAUUGUUGGGAUUAGCUAUGGCGGGUUUGUAGGGUAUAACAUGGCAGUGCAAUGUCCGCAGAUGGUAGAAAAAUUGGUGUUAUGUUGUACUGGAAUUUGCUUAGAGGAGAAAGAUUUGGAUAAUGGAUUAUUUAAUGUUUCCACUGUAGAGGAAGCUUCAAGCAUUUUGCUACCGCAAACACCUCAAAAACUUAAGGAACUAAUGCGAUAUUCAUUCGUCAAGCCAGCUACGGCAAUCCCCUCCUUUUUCCUCACUGAUUUCAUUAAUGUAAGUAUGAAACUAAUAUCAAUGUCAGCAUGCAAACCAUUUUAGUUUUGAAUUUCUUGGAGACUUGAUGUGACAUAUAUAUAUAUAUAUAUAUAUAUAUCAGGUUCAGACUUGAGAUUUUGAGACGUGAGUCGAACUCUUAAAGUUUUGGCCCUCAAAUCGUAGUUUGCAUCUAGUUUACACAUAAACAAAACCUAAUUGUUUAAUACAUGUUUGCAUCCCUCAAAUUUUUUUUUUUUUUCAUUCACCUCCUCAUCCAUCCAUUUCCUAUUUAAGUGAUAAUGCUGAGAUUAUAUCGAUCAAUUCUACAAACAUAUGCAUACCAAUGCUAUCAAGUUCAUUGAUUCAAAAACUGUGAUCGAUAUCUAAUGUGUGUCAUAAUCAAUUAACAUACAUCACCAACACAAUAAGAAAACUUCCUAAUUCAUCAUGGUAUAUGACUCUUCCUGAUUGCAAAGGAAAUUUGGAGAAAUGAAUGACCUCACAAAUGAUCUUUGAUCUUUUUUUGGUUUUUUGCAUAAUUAACAAAUAAUUUGUCCUUAUAUGUGAACACGACGUCCAAAAUUUUAUAAAACAAAUAUGUGUAUUAAGUAUUAGAUGACUAGGUGUUGUGUAUACACGUUUGUAUCAUAUUAUUGCAUACAAAUAUAUAAUACACAUACAAAGAGAGAAGCUAGCUCUCUGAUAACGUGCAAGUAUAAUUAACCUAGCUACUUGGUACAAGUAUAAUAGCCGGCCAUUUGGUAAAAGUAUAAUUAACCUUGCCACACUAUAACAUGUUAUAUUUAUGAUGCUUUGAUGUUCAUUAAUUCAAUCUAUUAUUAUUUUUUGAUAGAUAAUGUGUACGAACUAUGUAGAAGAAAAGAGAGAGAUGAUCGAGGCAAUAUUGAUGAACCGAAAGCUAUCCAAUCUCCCCAAGAUCACACAUGUAAGUAUGUUAUACAUCUUCAAUUGGAGUAGUAUAAUUUGAUGAAGUUAAUUAACUAAUUACCCAUUCAUCAAAAAAUAACAUUAAUCUCAUAUUGUUACGUACUUUGUGAUUCAACAGCCCACAUUAAUAAUAUGGGGAGAGCAAGAUCAAAUCUUUCCUUUGGAACUAGGGUACAGACUAAAAAGGUAUGCAAAUGAUUCCUCAUCCUUCAACAUAUAUAGAGUAAUUUGUUUUUUUUUUUUGAAACUAUAUUAGUUAUGCAAGUUUGUUUUUGUGUAUAUAUACAGACAUAUAGGGAAACACGGUCAACUAGUGAUUAUUAAGAAGGCUGGACAUGCUGUCAACCUGGAACAACCCAAGGAGUUUAUAAAGCAUUUAAAAUCGUUUCUUUAUGAAUUUUGGUCUUCUCCGCCGUCGCCAACAUGGAAGGAUCACUUUCACUUUCAUAUUGAUAGAGUAUACUAAAGACGUGCAAAGAAAUGAUCAGUUUUGAUCAUUUCUACACGACGGCUGGAAUUCUAUUGAUCAUGUACAUAUUGAGGAUAUAAUUGUUUUUGUUUUACUGAGACAAACAGAAAAAUAAUGAAAAAGCUUAUGUAGUUCUUUAGAAUAAAAUUUGAAAAUUAUUAUUUUACUGUUUAUAUUUAGGGGAAUGGAAAAAUUUCAUUGACAACAACCAUAUGACCGUAAUAUGUCAAGAUCAAGGCACGUGAAUACCUAGGAAGCACAAAGCUUGCAUACUCCUGCCUUUCGCGUUUUCGAAGCUGAAGCGAAGCUGAAGCACCAAGGAAGCGCACGCUAGGAAGCGUGAUUCCAGAAAAAGUAGUUUUAGAAUUACUGAGGAAGCGUGCGAUUCCUAAUUGGAAACGAGGUGAUGGGUGAGUUUGGAAGCGGCAGAGAGAUUGAGAAGAUCGAGUUUUGGAUGGGUUCUUGAUAUGGAUUUUUGAUUCUUGAUCUGGAUUUGAAGAAAGAACAUCUGACAAUAAAAAUAAAUUUCUCGAUCACUUACGAUCAAUUCUUGAUUAUUGAUUAUUGCUCACAAUUCCAAUUUAUCUUCGCCCUCUAUGAUAAUAAAAAUAAUUUUGGGUGUGUGAGGAAGGGAUAAUGGGUAUGAUUGUAAGGUGGGGUGUGACCAAGUGAGAGAUUGAGACAAUGGGUAUGAUUAUGAAGGUGGGGGGCAAAAAGGUCGCUUUGCUUCAAGGCUAUAUAGGCUUAGAGGGUACUAAUUUUUUCACUUUUUUAGUUGGUUAAUGUCCACUUUUUUGGACAGAGUUCUCCCUUUUUUUUCUCUUUUUAAAAAAAAAAAAACAAUAAGGCAGUCUCUCUUUUGAAUCCUGAUAAGAAUGACCAUUUAAUGAAAAGAAAACCAACUAAUACCUAAAAUUAUUCUUAAUUAACCUUAACAUUCUGCAUCUGCCUUGACUAGCUAGCUUCAAGCCUAAAGACCCUGGUGUUUCCCUCCAAAAGUCACUGUAGUGAUCAACCUCGAAUUAUUAAGAUCAUGUUGAGUACAACUCACAAUAAGCUCAUUUGGAGGCCAACUCGAUAUCAAGCCCAAGUCAAAGACAUGAGGGAAAAUACGCUGACACCAAGAAGCUCAGCACACUCAGACAACACGCACCCUUGAAACUGGUCUAACUAGUGUCAUAUUCCUAGUGAGCUUGCUGGAGUCACUACUGCUAUACGAAGAAAGUAUCUGCCAUUACCAUUCCAGUGAAUGACCAUUGCCUUCAGCCAUAUGUGGAUUGAAGUGAUAUCGAAACUUGGGUCAGGCUCAAUCUAGCUACCAACCGUAACCGGAAGUUUGUAGCUAACCACUGUGCCUUGUUUGCUUGGAAAAUUGUAGAUCGGAGAAGACCUGACCUGCCACGAGACCAGUUCCGCGUUGAAAGAACGUCGGCAAGCCCUUCAACACAUGGUGCGACCUUCGAACCACCACCUAACACAAAUUUUUCGCUACAAAAAUUCGGUGUUUUGACUAUAACCAAAGUCUUGAACCCAACAAUCAGUCUUGCCUAAGAACAUAUGAAGAACACCAAUGCAUCUCGUUAGAAGAAAGUGAUGCCACCUUUCUGCGUGAAACAUAAGGGUCUCACCGGCUCAGUAAUGCUUUGCAAAAACAGAAGCUUUAUGAUUAUUUAUUGAUAUGAAUAUUUUACUUUUCUUUAAAAGUAGAAAGUAAGCUAGAUUUUCUAUCCUAUCAUAAAGUGGAGCAACAUGGAUAUCCUCCUGGGUGCCGGUAGUGAUAUGCAGAAUUCCUAGUCCACGAUUUCUUCCUGUACCUACAUAAAAAGAUGUCAUGAGUCAAGACCGGGGUUGUCGGCCUAUGACUCUCUAAUGCUUAAGUCGGCGAGUAUCGCUACAUGCAACACAUACAGAAGAAUACGCACGCGUUAAGUGUUCGAGCUCGACUGUUUUAAAAGGCAGUGCUUGUUAAGUAAGCUUUUCUUGGGAAACAGGUCAGUCCCCUUGAUGAGAUUGGGGAUCGAGGGCGAUCGUAGUUGAAGAACAACAAGGCGACGUGAUUGACCAAUGACUAGAUUGGGGCUCAGACAAACCGGAGGGGACUGGUCUUUCAAUCACAGUUUAAAACACUUAUCUAGAUCGACUAUCCAACUACGAUUUUUAAACCUUGAUGUAGUGAUAUUUUUUAAAGUUCUCACUAGAUACUUUUUUUUUUUUUUUAAAAUCAGGAAUAAAUCCCUUGUUAUUCAUCAUAUCGACCUUCCGAGAUCAAGAUGAAAGCCGGACAAGUUUCCAACUCACUGCUCACAGUUUUGGACUCCAAAUAAAAGAAAGAGAAAAUUAGAUAAAAACCUAAAAUACUAGACCUCUUUUAAGAUAAACCCAUACAUAUUUUUCUUUCAUUUUACACCCACUCCACGUAAGUAAAUUUACUAUAUAGAGCAUAUGUCUAUAAUUAAUAGUUUUCUUCAUUUUUUUAGUUUCUCUGAUUUGCCCUUCAGAUGAUAUAAAACUAAAUUUGGUAUCUUUCUCAAUUUUAGCAUCAAUUUGAAACUCAAAUAUUAAGCUAAAAUUUAGUUGGAUUUAACUUUAUCAUAAUAAUUACAUUCUUUAAUUUCUUACUUUGUUAUUACUAACUUGAGUGUAUAUAUAUGUUAUAUAUAGAAGUAUGUCAUUUGUAAUAGAAUGAUUCUUUUCAUUCUUAAGCUCACAUUUGGUGUCUCUCUACAUAGUCGAAAAAUGUCUAAUUGCAAGGUACACGUUCUUAUUUUUUUAUUAAUUUUCUUCUUUUUAGGUAUAUUAUUAUAUUAUUUCUCAUCCUGAUCGAGAAAACAUUUACAUUUCUAAUGUACCUAUUAAGUAGGACAUGAUAUGAUAAUAUACCUAAAAAGAAGAAACCCAAAAUUGGGUUUAGGGUAAGGUAAUAGGGUUUAGGGUAUAGGGUUAGGGUAUCGGUUUAGAGUAUAGGGUUUAGGGUUUAGGGUUUAGGGUUUAGGGUUUAGGGUUUAGGGUAUAGGGUUUAGGGUUUAGGGUUUAGGGUUUAGGGUAUAGGGUUUAGGGUUUAGGGCUUAGGGCUUACGGUAACACUAUAAAAUUUCUUCCUGUUACUCUAAUAAUUAGAUAUCUUAUUUAUAUUAUAUUUGACCUUAUGUAUAGAUCAUAGAAUGUAUUCAUUUCACCUAGAUUUUUUCAUAAAAAUAAAGAAAACCGCAUGAUUCUUGUAAAUUGAUUGAAAAAUGUUAGUGUUAAAAGAAAAACUCAUAAUCAAGGUAUUUAAGAAAACAUUAAUUAAGCUUAUUUAUUAUGUUUAUAUGUUAUAGUUGAAUGGUGGCAAUUAUGUAAAAUUUAGUAAAAAUAUGACAUAAUAUGUAUCAUAAUUGAUACAUUUUAGAUGUCUAUCAGAAAGGAAUAUUAUGUGCGUUUUAUUUAAAACCACUCUUCAAAAUUGGGUGUAUAUGAAAAUCCCCCUAAAAGAAAACGAUACUGAAACAAACGUAUAACUAGAAAUUGAAAUGAUACCGACUUAACAGAAAUUAAAAAUUUAAGCUUAUACGUUACACAUGAAUACGAUUCAAUAUAUGAUAAAAGAGAUAUGAAGGCAUUUGGAGCUUUGUAGUGUAUCUAUUUUUGUCUAAAUUAAGAUGUUUCUUACUUGUUUAAUUAGUUGUUUUCUCUUAUGAGCUGCCAUGAGAUGUGCCACCUUGUUUGCAUUUCUCGAAGCAUGAACCACACGUAUAUUUAAUUACCCUUUAAGAUGAUCCUUUAAGAUGGCACCUUGAUCAUCCUAUAUACACCCCAAAAUGGACAAAUUACUAACCUCGAUCACGACUAAUCAAUUGUUUGUACACCACCAGCUCUGAAUCAGUCUCCGCAAUGGCUGGAGAGUAUUGGUUUGCAACACUGAACUCAAUGGCACUCUUACAUGCUAGUGCCUCCACAUGCUCAGGUGAAAGUAGACCAGCAAGAGAUUUAAUUACCUCCACCUGCCAGAAAGGAACCCUGCCAAAAUGCCAAUCUCUGACUACAAAGCCAGUACCACCUUUCUUUGUUUUUUUGAUAGGAAGAACCAUCAACGUUUUUUUAUUUUGAAAUAACCAAUAGGAUUAGCUAGCCAACGAGCUAUCAGCUAUACUAUUGCUACUAGCACCACUUUUUCCAGUUUUCCUAUGUAGGAGCCAAUCGGAACUCAUUCAACCUUGACAUAGAUAUAAUAACUACAUCGAUUAUCAACAGUAACAACUUUACUGUUUCUUUCUUCCCAAAUCCCCUAAAGAAGGUACAUCAACUCACCAACACCAAGUACAUUAACUAAACAAUUCCAGAAGAUCCAAAUUAACAUAACGGGGAUUGUAGCAAACCUGAGCUAGCACCCCAUGUGUUUUCAGAACCUUUGUUGUAAAAGGGCAGUCACGGCACAUACGCACAGUAGUCUCCACCUCCAACCUACACAAAGGGCAAAUCAUGGAAUCCAGCACGUACCACCCUUUUCGACGCUAGUCGCUAGCUCCAAAGAGGGAAGAAUAUUGUGACACACCCUCCAUGUGUACUUUAGCUGAACUAGGAAUAACUACUUUCCCCAACUUUUUCCAAAAGCUCACACCAACAGAUAUCUCAAAAGGACUCCUAGCUAGACGAGGAAGUGGAAAAAGAAAAUUGGUCAGCAGACUUUACUAUAAAUUUACCGUCAUUUGCAAGAUGCCAAACUAUAUCUCUAUUAAGGAAAAGGGGAGGGGGGCGGGGGGGGGGGGGGGGGGGUUUACGUGUUCACGGAACAGUGAUAUCCCGAAACUAGCCCUGUAUUUUUCCGUUUUUCUCUGUUUUGCCAUUCCAUCAGUUUUUCGAAAUUACCUAUGUUUUUUUUCGUUUUCUCUGUUUUGCCAUUCCAUCAGUUUUUCCUUAUUGUGUUCUGCCCCUUCAUUUUUUUUAUUUCAGUUUUACCCGUCAAAUUUUAAUUUGAGAUUUACCCCUCUAUUUUUACUAUAAUUUCAGUUUUGACUCUUGAUUUUUUUCUUUCUUUCUGUUUUCUUACUCAGUUUUUUGGUCAAUGUUAUUCGUUUUGCAUGAGAGAAAAUUACAUUUAAAAAAAUAGCAAUAAUAAUAAUAAUAAAAGAAAAUCAAAUAAUUGUGUGUUGAUCGGUGUCAAUUGCGUGUAGUUAGUAAAACAAACAUAUUAUAAUUUGUGUUUGGUUUAUGACUAACAUUGCUUUAAUCAUUCUAUUCAUUGUUCCCUUAUUUCAUUUUAAGAUUUGAACUAUGGAAAUAAUCUUUUCAUCUUAAUUAGGUUGAUGGUACAAAACUGAUAUUGUGACUUCAUUCACUCAACGAUUGAUGUUGAAAAUGUUAAUGUUCAUAAUUAAUUCCCUUUUAAUACAAUUUAUGGGUUCAACUUACAUAUCUAAAACGAAUGUGAUGUGCUCAUGUUUCUUAACUUUAGUAUUGUCUAAUGUUCAACAUAUGACAUGUAUUGAUGGAUACUCUUUAUAUGUUUCUAAUUCUACAAAUCUUGGCUGUUGAUUAUGAGAAAUUUUAAAUACACACCCCUUAUCUCUUAAUACACAUCCCCAUUAUUUUAUGUUUCUAUUAAGAUUUUAUAGGUAAGCUAAAUGACCAAAACAUACAUCUAUUAUUAAAAAAAAUAAUUCACGCUAGAAGUAUUCUUUCCAACGUCUUCUACCCUAAAAUUGUCGAAAUCAUGUCUUCUCCCCUAACCCCGAUUCUUCUCCACAAUUCAUUUGGGUUGUCUUUUAAUUUUUUAAUUUUUUUAUCCGUAUCAACCUUAGUUUGAUCUUAUAGAUCAUAUUGUCAAGUACUGCAUCUUUAUCAGCUUUAGUUUGAUCUUGAAGAUCAUAUUGUCAAGUAUUGCAGCAUCUUUAUCAUGACAUGUUUUAUCGAAUAACUAGCUAUCUAUGUUUAAUAGCUACUGCACUUCUACAGUUGUACUAGCUUGUGAAUUUUGAAAACUUGUAUUGGUGAUUUUGGAGUUGAGAUAUAACAAUAAUCAUUUGAUUAUAAAUUGAACGAUGAUAACAAAAAAUUUCUAGCAAAAAUUAGACGAAAUAAUAUGUAAAAAGAGGUACCAAAUAGUAAAUAUAUAUUAAUUAUAUUAAAUAAUGGAAUAUUUCAUAAAUUAAGGGCAUUUAAGGCAGUUUGUGAUGUGUAUUAUGUAUAAUACUGAAAUGAAAAACUUGAUAGAUGGUGUAUUAAGUAAGGGGUGUGUAUUAAGAUAUUAGAGGUGUGUAUUUAAAAUUUCUCGUUGAUUAUUGUUCAGCUUUCUUUUAAAAAAAAAUUUAGAUUUCAAGGAGCCAUUUUUUUAUAAAAACCGCACAAUAAUUAAUCGAAUUAAAAAAAAGCGCACGAUAAUUAUGAAAUAUGCAGAAACCGCACUUCCGCAACCUUUCACAAUCAAUUCCCUUUUAAUUCAAUUGAUGGAUUCAACUUAUCUAAAUACAAUGUAAUGUGCUAAUGUUUCUUUACUUCUAAUUAUUGGUCAACUUUAUUUCAAAAUGGAAUUUAUAUGUGGGUUGACUUUGUUUUCGAUUACUAUUUCACUCAAUUGUGUCAUUUUUAUUUGAAUUGUGUACGGUUGUUGUUUAUGAAAAUCGUACAAUAAUUUAUCAAACUAACAAAGAUUUCACAAUAAUUAUCAAAUUGACAUAAAACACACUUCUGCACGCGCGCAAACGCGUGUAGGAAGGCUAGUAUAUGUUAAGGGAAUUGAUAAGAUUCCAUCAGCUUCCACCACCGGGAACACUUGUUUUAUUAGGAUGGCAUAUUCCAAGUACCUGUACUGCUGAUCAAAAAUUCAUUUCAAAAAGAGAAAACAAAGAAGCCAAUCACUCACCAGUCACCGUAUUAAUAAUUUCAUGUGCAACAAAAUUACCAACACUAGCCCUGCGCCCCUGCAACCCAAGAAUCCAGGAAUCAUUCCAUGUAUUUACCAUUGCACCAUCACCAAUCUGCCAACAAAUGCCUUCUCAUAACGCAUCCCUUGGAGAAGAGGAUCUAAAGGUACGCAUGAUCAGCACUAUAUUUUUCUAAAAAAGAAAAAGAAAAAAAAAAAUAUGAGGUCCAUAUGAAAGAUUCGUCUUCAUGGAGUCGUAUAUAUUAUCUAGACAUACAGAUGGAGAUGGUACUUUGAUUUUCUUCCUCACAAGUUUCCAUCACAUCACAAAUAAUUCACCCAAACAAGCCACCAAUCCAUAAAUCACUCACCAACACAACCCUAAAUUGCAUCAGCGUCACACUUUACCGCCCAACAAUCCAAUCAAUUAUCCUUUCUCCUCCUCCUCCUCCUAGCCUUCUUCGUCUACUUCGAGAGGUCGAGAAUCAAAAAGAAUUGCAAGCUUCAGACAUCAGAGCUAAACCUAACGGGGGACGAGGGACGACGACGAUGAUGGAAGGUUCGUCGUCUGUAACUCCCUUGCUAUUCCGCAACCUUAUAACCUCCCUCUUCAUAUUAGCAGAGACUUCCAUUUCCAGCUUGACCCAAAAACACAAAACCCUAGAACUCAUACGCUACGUUUUCAUCUCUUCCUUCCUCUUUUUCCUGCGUUUACUUCUUUCUUUAAACCCUAGGUCGACCAAGAAUAAUGAAUCCUCCUUGUACGAGGCCGACUGUAGUAGAAGAAAUCACAAGUUUAUGCCCGCUGCUAACGCCGGAGGGGACGACAGCGACACGGCUAUAGCUCGAGCACUUUCGCAGCUACUGUCGAUCGUCAAUGAUAUCCCGGUAAGCUCCCGCAAGUAUCAAGCUGUUCGGUCUUUAGCGGAAAACGUCAUCCAUGACAACCAGCGAGAGGGCGUGGAGGCUUUGCGUCAAGUGAAUCGCACGGUUUUGUCGGCAGCGUUUUCAAGGACUCUUAGCCAGCUUGAAGCCGCUGCAACUGUCGAACAGCAGCACCACGGCGGAGGCGGCGAUGGUGAUAUUGGUGGUUUAGAUACUGGUCAUCAUCAUCACUGGAUAGUAAGGGCUGUUCGGUCCGUUGCAGAUGUGGUUUGGACAAAGAGGGUUAGCAGCGGCGGGUCGAGAAGCUCGGCGGAGAAACUAGCGGCGGAGCUGCUCUGGUUGGCUGAGACGAUGGCGAGUUGUGGCUUUGCUCAAGAGUCUGUGAGGAGAUGGGCGUCCGCUUCUAUAUUGGCUCGCCUCUCUCUUUCAGCCGAGCCCCGCCUGCAAGCCUCCUUAGUCAAGCUUUCAGGUAACACUUACUAUCUUAAUGAUUAUUUCUGUAUUUUUCUUUAUUUGAUGAACUCCUUUUCGUUGUGAUUCCUAUUUUUCUUUCAAUUAGAACAUUAGACUUUGAGAUACUAUACUAUAUUAGCAUAUGUCUUAGGUGAUAAUUAACCCGCUGGUUUGCUUAAUUUGCUAUUUAUAGCUCAGCAUGGGGUGAUAUCUAUGACCAAGGUUUCUGGGAGUUAAAUGAUUGUUUGGCAGUCUCAUAUAUAGUUCUCCUCAAACAAAGAAGAUUUUUCUUAUAUAUGUAUGGUCUCUUUGGACGAUCAUCUUCCAGUCAUCCUUUUCAUGUCACCCGUUUGGGUGGAAAUUGUCGUUUCUUUCUAGCAAUACAAGAUCGAAAGGUAGUAACGUCCAACUUCCAACUUCCCAUAUAAAUUUUUGGUCGAUAAGAAUAUAGUUCGUAAUUCCAACUUUCAAGUAUAUCGCUGAUAGCAGUAAGUUGAAUAGACCAAAGUUGGCAUCUCAUGGAAAUUUAUGCCCUAGAAUAUGCUAGUCCUAAGAAUCAUGUACAUCAUUAUUGUUGCCAAACAAAGAAAAUGAUUUAUAUGUUUGGCUUUGACCGGUAGAUCUUCCUUUUCCUUGUUUGCACGUUUCUGCGUAGUACGAGUUUUUCUUAUCUGUAUUAUCUCUGUUCUAAUGCUGUCGUUAUUAAGUUAUUGAGUCAUUGAUUGAGUCCCGAGAGCAGUAACAUGUUAGUUCAAGCAAAAAUUCAUAAUAGAGAUCACAGACUGCGCCAUCUCCAUUUGACUUUUCGAUCCGUUUGUUGAUCCAGGAGGAUUGUCUUUCUUUUUUGGCAACUGAGCUAGGCGAAGUUGAUUGAUAUAUAUUGAUCAUUGUGGCUAGCUAAAGUGUAUAUAAUACAGAUAUAUGAAUAAUCCUAUGUAUGACAGAGUAUUCUUGAUUGAUUGCGUGCAGCGUUGUUGUUAAAGUAUGCCAAAGACAUGGGAGUAAAUGAAGGUAUUGAUGAUGAUACUGAGAGCAAGAAAGAGCAGCAAAAAAGAAACGAAGCAAAGAUGCAGAUGCAGAUGUUGAUGUUGUGGAUUCCAUUGCUGUGCAUAGCAAGCAAUGGCACUGAUGUGCCUGUUUUGAGCGUCGGCGAAAGGGCUGAGCUUGAGAGAGUAAUGGAAGAGACCAUAGAAACGUUGGAAGAAGAAGAUCAAGAGGGAGUACUAUCCUUGUGGCUCCACCACUUCACAUAUUGCUCGUCUUCUGAUUGGCCAAAUCUACAUGCCUCAUAUGCUCGAUGGUGUAACGCAUCGCGCAAGCAGUUUUUAAUUCACAAUUCAUAAUUUACACACUUUGCUAGGUUGUAAUUAAGUAUAAACGAGCUUUGAAAUAGUCAUUACUCGUUUGAUAGGUUUAAGACUUUUAAGCUUUCCAUUGUGGGUUGGGAUUCAUAACUUUAAUAAUCGGCCCCAAAUUCUUGUAACCAAAGGGUUUCGACAACAGAAUGAGACUUGAGAGGAAAUCAAUUUGACAGGUAUGUCUUAGUAGUGAAGUUUGAAACUCUUUGUUCAUGAAACAAAAGCCACACAUAUUCCUCUUUGCCCACUGUUUUUAGAAUCCGUGUGAAAUAUUUGGGUGGAAUCCACCUGCACAGCUCAAUUAGUUAGUUCGACCUAGCUAGGGUUCUAAAGAAAGAGGUUCCACGUAAACGUACAAAAGUAUAUGGUCAAAAAUAAAACAUUCGUCUUCAUGAGUUGUAGAUACCAUCGAAACAUACAGCUGGCCGUAAGUUGCAAGUUUCCAUCACUUAUAUCUGCACGCCACCAAUCUAUGAAUCAAUCACAAUUAAGUUCACAACCCUAAAUUUCAACAUUCCGAUCAAUUUUAAUCCUAGCCUUCUUCUCCUAGAUAGCCUUCUUCCUGUGCUUCGAGACAGGUCGAGAAUCAAGGAAUUGAAAGAUUCAGAGCUAAACCUAACGGUGGAUGAAAGACGGCGACGAUGAAGGAAAGUUCGUCGUCCAUAACUCCUUUGCUUUUCCGCAACCUUGUAACUUCCCUCUUCAUUUUGGCAGUGACUUCAAUUUCCAGCUGGACCCAAAAACACAAAGCCCUAGAACUCAUACGCUACGUUUUCAUCUCUUCCUUCCUCUUUUUCCUGCGUCUUCUUCUUUCUUUAAACCCUAGGUCGACCAAGAAUAUCGAAUCCCUCUAUUCCACCUUGUACGACUACAAUGACAAGCCUCCCAAGAAGGGUAGUAUUGAUCAAAUAAAUCAGAAGUAUAUGCCCGCAGCUAACAGCGGAGACGAAGGCGGCAACGGCAGCGACACGGCUAUAGCUCGAGCACUUUCGCAGCUAUUGUCGAUCGUGAAUGAUAUUCCGGUAAGCUCCCGCAAGUACCAAGCUGUUCGGUCUUUAGCAGAAAACCUCAUCCGUGACAACCAGAGAGAGGGCGUGGAGGCUUUGUGUCAAGUUAACUGAAGGGUUCUGUCGGAAGCGUUGUCGAGGACUCUAAACCAGCUUGAAGCCGCCGCAAUUUUCGAACAGCAGCAGCACCACGGUGGCGGUGAUAUUGAUGCUUUGGAUUGUGUUCCUCAUCAUUGGGUAGUAAGGGCCGUUCGGACAGUUGCAGACGUGGUGUGGACAAAGGGGGUUACCAGCGGCGGGUCGAGGAGCUCGGCAGAGAAGCUAGCGGCGGAGCUGCUCUGGUUGGCUGAGACAAUGGCAAGUUGUGGCUUUGCUCAAGAGUCUGUGAGGAGAUGGGCGUCCGCAUCUAGUUUGGCUCGCCUCUCACUUUCAGCAGAGCCGCGCCUGCAAGCCUCCUUGGUCAAGAUUUCAGGUCAGAUUUCAAAGCCUCUCCAUCUCUAGCUACCUGCAUGGAAAAAUUACUCUUUUUAAUUUUUCUUUAUAUAUUCGAGUCGAUCCUUUUCAUUGUCAUUCUUUUUCUUUUAGAUUAGAACGUACAUUACAGUUCAUAAGGAAAAGAAAACAUUACAGUGAUAUAAUUGGGGUUUGAGACAUAUGCUUGACACACUUGAUUUAGCAUAUAUCUUAUCAAUCAUUUGCUUGCCUGAUUAUAAAACUUGUCUUUAUUGAAUCUUGUUUGGCGACGUACUGAGGGAAAAUUGAAUUAUUGAAAUAGUGAAAACUUUGGUAAACUAACGUGGUUAUAUUUUAGACACAUGUCCUCAAAUUUACGAUUCACUAUAGACUGAUUAUGUUCAUGCAGCAUUGUUGUUGAGGUAUGCCAAAAAUAUGGGAGGGAAUGAAGGCGAUGAAGAUGAUGAUAACGAGAGCAUGAAAGAGCAGCAACAAAGAAAACAAGGGAAGAUGCAGAUGCAGAUGUUGGUGUUAUGGAUUCCAUUGCUGUGCACAGCCAGCAACGGCACUGAUGUGCCUGUUUUGAGCAUCAGCGAAAGGGCCGAGCUGGAGAGACUACUGGAAGAGACCAUAGAGAAGCUGGCAGAAGAAGAUCAAGAGCGAGUUCUAUCCUUGUGGCUCCACCACUUCACAUAUUGCUCGUCUUCUGAUUGGCCCAAUCUACAUGCCUCUUAUGCUCGCUGGUGUAACGCUUCGCGGAAGCAAUUGAUAAUGCACCAUUCAUAGUUUCUUCAUUAUUUUCAUAUACACACUUUAUCUUGUUUACUAUUCUAUAUUUGGUGUGCAGUGUGCUAUAGAUUUAUAAUCAGUAUAUAUCAAAUUAUCAAUCAUAUCAACAAGCUCCAAAAAUUGUAUAGCAAGUAGAUUCAAGGGCAUUCAGACUUCAUUCACCAUUUUGUAUAUAUGUAGCUGGCUGAACUGCUUCUAAUUUUCAAAAUGGUGAAUGAAAAUACAACAAUGGAACAAAUAACAACAACAAAUAAAAUUACAACGAAUUAAGAUGAAAAGUCGAGAAUAACAUUCUAUGACAACUUUGUUGAAAUGAUUUACCGCUGCCUCAGCUACCAAUACUCAGACGUCACCAAUAUUCAUAUAAGCUGAAAUCAAAGGUUGCCACAAUGAUUAUGUAACACAAUACCGAUGCUAACUGAACCAUCAAGAUCACUGCCCCAUCAAAAAAUUGAUGAGGAAACCACGUAAUAAUUUAGAUAUGAUGCACAAAAGUAUUUGAAAAUGUACUUCUUGAUCUAGCAUGGGAAACACGAGAGAUGCACGAUAAAUGGGAUGUAUAUGGCUAGGAAGAGGCACAAUAUUUCUAAAGAUGUAUUGAAUGAUUUCGAUCGAGCGAGACUUUGUGUCACACCCCAAAUCCGAUGUUAGUAGUUUCCAAGCACUUAAUACCGAAUCCGAAGCGUGAGAGGGAAAAGUAUAAGAAAAUAAAACAAACUCAAAUAUAUUUUCAGAAAAUUUUUGAAAACAAAACGUUUACGAAAACAAAACCAAUUACAAAGAUAAAACAGGUCUUGCGAAUCUAGCUCACUCAAAACUUUCGUCACUCAAAACUUUCGUAACUCUUCUAUACACGUGUACAGGUCUUCUCGUACACGUCAGCUAAACAUCAUAGUUAGACUUCUCGAAAGACGUGUCGUACCUCGUACACCUGAACAAGAAUCUAUAGGGGUGAGCUUACGCUCAGUAGGGCCAAACUUCUUUAGAUUAUUCUUAACUAUGUCGCACAAUCAAGUUAUCAACCAAUGUCAUAUAUAACAACAAAUCGAUCAAUGCAUGUAUGCUAAUGCACUCCUUUCACUCAAUUACUGUCCAAUCAGUCCACACAUCAAAGACAAGUGAUCAUACACGUCUCAUACCGUGUAUUUUACCAACCGGGGGUGACCCAAGAUGUCUUCAAUAUAUGAUCUAACAGUUAGUAAUUUCCUUAACGCCAAUACCUCUUUUGUUAGUCGUCUUGUCAUACUCAUGGUCUCCAAACCUGAAACCCGAUAAUAUCGUUUUAUCGAUGUCCGCCAUCGAAGGGACAUGUUUUCCCCAAAUUUGUGAACGUGUGGGCUACCCUAGAUCUUUGACAACCCAUGAGGAAACUCAACUACAUAAAAUGUAUCUUUCCUCUCCAUCUCAUUCUCACCUAUCUACAAUCACCAAUCUCACUAAUCUCACAAUUCCUCACAAUGCAUUAUGCAUAUAUAUCAAUUGAGCAUCAAUACUCGCAUUUUAAUAUCGAACACAUGCUUUAAAUGAAAAAUGAAAACGUCAAUCACAUAAAUCAACGAUAUUACAUACUUUAUCGAAAUCGAUAACAAUCAAGAAUUAAUCAAUCAAUCAAUCAAUCAAUCAAUGUUACACAAAUCACCAUGCCAAUUAUAAUCUAAUAGGUAAAAUACUGUAUAGUCAUUGUGAUUUCAAGUCGACAUCUGUUUAGUCAUUCUGGUUUUAUUUUAAUCUAAAUAGCCAUUAAAGUCACAAUUUUUCAUCCAAAUGCCUCAUGUUAGUUUUCUCAAUUAAACUGUUGACAUGACCGUUAAAAAUUACAAUAAUGUCUUUAACGGCCACGUCAACAAUUUAACUGAGAAAAUUUAUGGAAUUAAGGACCAUUUGAAUGAAAAAUUAGAACUUUAAGGACUAUUCAAAUUAAAAUAAAAACACAAGGACUAAACAAAUGUCGACUUGAAACCACAAAGACUAAACAAAUUUAAAUCUAAUUAUAGAUUUAAAGAAAGGUUCCCUAAGAGUCCCUACUUGAAAUCCGAGUCCCAAAUCUGACGCUAACUAAAAUUAGUAACUCAGCGACCUGCUUUUCUAAAAUCUUUAUUCUUCUGCUUUUGUAAUUCUGCGACUCGCAUUCGAUGCUCUUACCAAAUCCUUAUUCUUAGAGAGUCAAUGGAUCAUUUUUUUCGACAAUUACCGAAUCACAUGCCUCUGUAUUAAGUCGUAUCCCAACUAUCCUCCAAGCACCAAUCUAAGCUCUUACUCUAUUCUCGAUACCCAAUUUCUCUUAAUUCUCCCACCUCCAUUUAUUACAUUUUCACUAAUCAUCUUCGUUGACAACUCCAAUUCCAUUUCCUUUAUACCUUAACCAUUUCUGUAACCACAAACUCCAUAUGUUAAGCAAUUCAACCCAAAAUACAUCUCGUCAACAUAUAUACCAAACAUCUAAACUUUACAAUUCAUCAUAGCUUCUCUGUUCUUAAAGAACCCGACCCAACCUUUAUUCACCCAACUCCUCCAUCUCUAAAAUUCAAGCAACACACCAACACAAUUGGAUUCUACUACUACUACCAAGCUUACCAAAACCUAGAGACAAUUAACCACCAGCUAUCACCAUCACUGCUGCCGUUGUGAAUAGUAACUUCACGGUGGUCAUCCACUGCUGGAAACCCAUAACAACUGCUGCUGUUUGUUCUUAGAUUCCUGUAAUCGAACAUAUAUAUAGCAUCAAAAUCAUGCUAAGAGAUCCAUAACAACUAGAAUUUAAUUACUAAAACAAGGAUUAAAAACGUAACCACCUCCGUUGUGCACGACCACACACACAACGGUCCUCUAUUGCCCAAAACCUAACUUCUCCAAAUCCUAACCAAUUUUGAAUUCAAUUAUACAAAGAGGUAGAGCUCCAUAAAUUGACCAACUUUGACACUUGGGUCGAAUACCAAAUCUCACCGGAAAGCAUGGAAACUCGCCAAAAAACACAUAGACCUUCGCUAAUCGAUUCUCCCUCCUCAAAGCUUCUCUUUGAAAACCAGUACCACAAGGACGUUCGCCAAGUCGAGGCGAAGCUACCACCACCGAACUUUCUCACCACCUUGGCUAGAAUCUAGAACUUGCCGGCGAACCCAACGUCUCUCUCUUCUUCGAUUCUCCUUCACCGAAGCUCAUUUGCCGAAACCAAGACCAUGCCACAUGGAGGAUGUGGAGGCCAAGACGAAGUCGACGCUGCCAUUCUUUCUCCAUGUCGUCACCGAAGAACGAAGUGGCAGCCGGAUCGACCCAUCGCCUCCGUUCGGGUCGAGAAUGACCCGGUCUGGGUGUUGAUCUGAUCUGAUCCCUUACAUAAAUAAUCGAUUCAACGAUUGAGAUCUUGCGGUUUA
rnacentral:lncRNA from 1 species